UUAAUUGAAUUGAGCCUUGGUAUGGAAACCCACUAAGUGAUAACUUUCAAAUUCAGAGAAACCCUGGAAUUAAUAAAAAGGGGCAAUCCUGAGCCAAAUCCCGUUUUCCGAAACCAAAGGUUCAGAAAGUGAAAAAGGGAUAGGUGCAGAGACUCAACGGAAGCUGUUCUAACAAAUGGAGUUGGCUGCGUUAGUAGAGAAAUCUUUCCAUCUAAAAUUCCGAAAGGAUAAAGUGAAGGAUAAACGUAUAUAUACGUAUUGAAUACUAUAUCAAAUGAUUAAUGACGACUCGACUGAAUCUGUAUUUUUUAUAUGAAAACGGAAGAAUUGGUGUGAAUAGAUUCCACAUUGAAGAAGGAAUCGAAUAUUCAUUGAUCAAAUGAUUCACUCCAUAGUCUGAUAGAUCUUUUCAAGAAUUGAUUAAUCGGACGAGAAUAAAGAUAGAGUCCCGUUCUACAUGUCAAUGUCGGCAACAAUGAAAUUUAUAGUAAGAGGAAAAUCCGUCGACUUUAAAAAUCGUGAGGGUUCAAGUCCCUCUAUCCCCAAAAAACAUAUUUGAUCCCCC
rnacentral:ncRNA from 1 species